rnacentral:rRNA from 1 species
GACGAACGCUGGCGGCGUGCUUAACACAUGCAAGUCGAACGGAAAGGCCCUGCUUUUGUGGGGUGCUCGAGUGGCGAACGGGUGAGUAACACGUGAGUAACCUGCCCUUGGCUUUGGGAUAACUUCAGGAAACUGGGGCUAAUACCGGAUAGGAGCUCCUGCUGCAUGGUGGGGGUUGGAAAGUUUCGGCGGUUGGGGAUGGACUCGCGGCUUAUCAGCUUGUUGGUGGGGUAGUGGCUUACCAAGGCUUUGACGGGUAGCCGGCCUGAGAGGGUGACCGGCCACAUUGGGACUGAGAUACGGCCCAGACUCCUACGGGAGGCAGCAGUGUGGAAUAUUGCACAAUGGGCGGAAGCCUGAUGCAGCAACGCCGCGUGCGGGAUGACGGCCUUCGGGUUGUAAACCGCUUUCGCCUGUGACGAAGCGUGAGUGACGGUAAUGGGUAAAGAAGCACCGGCUAACUACGUG